rnacentral:piRNA from 2 species
GCACCAAACAAGGGACACCUCUUUGGAA